AAAGAUUGAUCGCUGAAGGAUCGGCCCGCGUCUGAUUAGCUAGUUGGUGAGGUAAUGGCUCACCAAGGCGACGAUCAGUAGCUGGUCUGAGAGGAUGAUCAGCCACAUUGGGACUGAGACACGGCCCAAACUCCUACGGGAGGCAGCAGUGGGGAAUAUUGGACAAUGGGCGCAAGCCUGAUCCAGCCAUGCCGCGUGAGUGAUGAAGGCCUUAGGGUUGUAAAGCUCUUUCGUCCGGGACGAUAAUGACGGUACCGGAAGAAGAAGCCCCGGCUAACUUCGUGCCAGCAGCCGCGGUAAUACGAAGGGGGCUAGCGUUGUUCGGAAUCACUGGGCGUAAAGGGCGCGUAGGCGGCUUUAUAAGUCGGGGGUGAAAGCCUGUGGCUCAACCACAGAAUUGCCUUCGAUACUGUAGAGCUUGAGACCGGAAGAGGUAAGUGGAACUGCGAGUGUAGAGGUGAAAUUCGUAGAUAUUCGCAAGAACACCAGUGGCGAAGGCGGCUUACUGGUCCGGUUCUGACGCUGAGGCGCGAAAGCGUGGGGAGCAAACAGGAUUAGAUACCCUGGUAGUCCACGCCGUA
rnacentral:rRNA from 1 species